rnacentral:rRNA from 1 species
UACGUAGGGUGCGAGCGUUACUCGGAAUUACUGGGCGUAAAGCGUGCGCAGGCGGUUUUGUAAGCCAGAUGUGAAAUCCCCGGGCUUAACCUGGGAAUGGCAUUUGGGACUGCAAGGCUUGAGUGCGGCAGAGGAGACUGGAAUUCCCGGUGUAGCAGUGAAAUGCGUAGAUAUCGGGAGGAAUACCGAUGGCGAAGGCAGGUCUCUGGGCUGACACUGACGCUCAUGCACGAAAGCGUGGGGAGCAAACGGG